rnacentral:rRNA from 1 species
UGGAGAAAAGCAGGGGAUCGUAAGACCUUGCGCUUUUGGAGCGGCCGAUGCCUGAUUAGCUAGUUGGUAGGGUAAAGGCCUACCAAGGCGACGAUCAGUAGUUGGUCUGAGAGGACGACCAGCCACACUGGGACUGAGACACGGCCCAGACUCCUACGGGAGGCAGCAGUGGGGAAUUUUGGACAAUGGGCGCAAGCCUGAUCCAGCCAUGCCGCGUGAGUGAAGAAGGCCUUCGGGUUGUAAAGCUCUUUCAGCCGGGAAGAAAAGGCUGCGACUAAUAAUCGCAGUUCAUGACGGUACCGGAAGAAGAAGCACCGGCUAACUACGUGCCAGCAGCCGCGGUAAUACGUAGGGUGCGAGCGUUAAUCGGAAUUACUGGGCGUAAAGGGUGCGCAGGCGGUUUUGUAAGUCAGAUGUGA